GUUGACCUCGGAUUAGGUAGG
rnacentral:rRNA from 1 species